GUUGUUAUUCUGAUGUUGGUUGGUUGUCUAUGAUGAAUGAUUUGCGUCUCUUGGUUUUUUCUUUGUUCAACCUACUCAUCAUAUCCAUUUUUUUCCCUCGCAUCUUUCGCGAUGCAUAUCUUCUCUUCUUCGCAACCACCUCUUAUUCGCCAUUUUACUCCGCGCCUCUUGCGUAAAGAAAAAGGAAACAUGUUUUAAUAGCUAUCCUGAGUUCAACUGCUUCUUGAACUUCACGUCUUCUUGCGGAAGGGAAAAAUAGUCGGCCUAGAAGAAUAAUGAAGACCUUCGGAAGGGUGGGAGGCAUUUUGGCUGGUCCCAUUGUGAUGGCCCACCGCAUUUUUUUCCUGUUCGACGAUGUUCGUCGAAGAGUUGAAUCACGCAACGCAUUUCAUGGUUAUUGCUGGGAUUGCUUCGAAAUUUUGAACUCUGAGAUUAGCAGUGAUUUGAAAUUGAA